AGAGUUUGAUCCUGGCUCAGGACGAACGCUGGCGGCGUGCCUAACACAUGCAAGUCGAACGAAGAUUUCAGCAAUGAAAUCUUAGUGGCGAACGGGUGAGUAACGCGUAGACAACCUACCUUCUAGAUGGGGACAACACUGGGAAACUAGUGCUAAUACCGAAUGUUGUAUUAAAGGUGCAUACCUUAAAUACUAAAGGUGGCCUCUAUUUAUAAGCUACCACUAGAAGAUGGGUCUGCGUCUGAUUAGCUAGUUGGUGAGGUAAUGGCUCACCAAGGCGACGAUCAGUAGCCGGUCUGAGAGGAUGAACGGCCACACUGGGACUGAGACACGGCCCAGACUCCUACGGGAGGCAGCAGUGGGGAAUCUUCCGCAAUGGACGAAAGUCUGACGGAGCAACGCCGCGUGAGUGAUGAAGGUUUUCGGACUGUAAAGCUCUGUUGUUUAGGACGAAAGUGCCUGUUGCAAAUAGUUGCAGGUAUUGACGGUACUGAACGAGGAAGCCACGGCUAACUACGUGCCAGCAGCCGCGGUAAUACGUAGGUGGCAAGCGUUGUCCGGAAUUAUUGGGCGUAAAGGAUGCGUAGGCGGAUAUAUAAGUCAGAUGUGAAAUACCCGAGCUUAACUUGGGUGCUGCAUUUGAAACUGUAUGUCUAGAGUGCGGGAGAGGAAAGUGGAAUUCCUAGUGUAGCGGUGAAAUGCGUAGAGAUUAGGAAGAACACCAGUGGCGAAGGCGACUUUCUGGACCGUAACUGACGCUGAGGCAUGAAAGCGUGGGUAGCAAACAGGAUUAGAUACCCUGGUAGUCCACGCUGUAAACGAUGAAUACUAGGUG
rnacentral:rRNA from 1 species